AUGUUCUCUACAUCUCUACUGCUCCUGCUGGCAGCUGCUUCUUAUGUGCAUGGUGAGGAACUGACUCAGCCUGCGUCCAUGACAGUCCAGCCAGGCCAGAGUCUCUCCAUCCAGUGCAAGGUUUCAUAUUCAGUUACGAGCUAUGAUACAGCUUGGAUUCGACAACCUGCAGGAAAAGCUCUGGAGUGGAUUGGAUACAUUGCUCCUAGUGGGGGUACAGCUUACAGUGACAAACUGAAAAAUAAGUUCAGCAUCUCCAGAGACACUUCUACUAACACAAUAACAAUUGGAGUACAGAACAUGCAGACUGAAGACACAGCUGUGUAUUACUGCGCUCGUCUGCGCACAGUGAGACGAAUAAACAACGUCCCUGUACAAAAACUCCUCAUUCAGUGAUCACAAUAACAAGACACAACACUGAUCUAUCCAACUAUUAGAAAAUGUAAAAUAAAUAAAUAAAUAAAUAAUCCACAAAUGAAAACAAAGAGAUUGAAUUUAGUUCAUUUUUUAAAUAAUUGUAAUAUAGA